CCUACGGGUGGCAGCAGUGAGGAAUAUUGGUCAAUGGACGCUAGUCUGAACCAGCCAUGCCGCGUGCAGGAUGACGGCCCUAUGAGUUGUAAACUGCUUUUGUACGGGGGUAAACUCCGAUAUGUGUACUGCGUUGAAUGUAUCUUAUGAAUAAGGAUCGGCUAACUCCGUGCCAGCAGCCGCGGUAAUACGGAGGAUCCGAGCGUUAUCCGGAUUUAUUGGGUUUAAAGGGUGCGUAGGCGGGUUGAUAAGUUAGUGGUGAAAGGUUGGGGCUCAACCCCGAAAUUGCCUCUAAUACUGUUGGACUAGAGAACAGUAGCGGUAGGCGGAAUGCAUGGUGUAGCGGUGAAAUGCUUAGAUAUCAUACAGAACACCGAUUGCGAAGGCAGCUUACCAAACUGUAACUGACGCUGAGGCACGAAAGCGUGGGUAGCAAACAGGGUUAGAUACCCGGGUAGUC
rnacentral:rRNA from 1 species